CAGCCCGUGUUAUUGUUCUCUUUGCAAAUCUUUCUCCGCCCGCACCCCCCGCCCCCCCUCCGCACCGAAGGGUCCCAGGGGUGGCCAUGCUCUCGCGCCCUCCCACGCUUGGCCCGACCCGGGGUUCGCACACUUCGCCUUGCCAGCCGUCACCUCGCGGAGGACGAGUUCCCAGCCGCCAGGGCGGAUGGAUUAGACGCCAAUAAGUCGACGUUUUGUGAAUGGCCCCUCGGAACCCAAGGAAAGUAGCAGGUGACCUUCUAGGGGAGCUGCGAGCAGCCCCAGCAGGGCGAGUCCGCGCUCUGAAUGCGCCUCGACUGAGCCUACGCAUCUGGGUUCUGCUCAGCCGCCUCACAUGACUCCCCAAAGCGAGCUGGACAGAGCUUUCAAAGGGGGGGGCAAUCUGUCUUCAUAAUUAUAGGGGAAAGUUUCCACUUAGUUUAUCCAAGUGUGACAGUACCCUAAGUUUUUCCACUGACCCCCUCAAAGACUUCUUUCCCAUCCGCAACAGUGAAUAAAAAACGAGGGGUCUGUGCCUGGGGGAAAAGAGUAGGGUCGCACUUGUGUUCGCUGGUCUUGACCGUCCCCUUAACUUUAUCGCAUUUCUUUAAAAGAAAAUCUGCUUUGCCCUCUCUUUAUUGCUACUGCAUCCUUCUUUCAAGAUCAAAAGCUUUAGAUCAAAGCCAAGAUCAAACUCACUACUUUAAAUAGAAGCAACUUUGCUAUGGAGUAUUUUACACAAAGAAGAGCUUCUUAAUGGAGACAUCAGAGUGGAAAACUUUAUUUUAUCCCUUCAUCCCAUAUUCAUUACAUGUCUACUUAAAACUGCAUUGAUGGGGUACUUGUGUUUCCUAAAAUAAACAACAGGUCUGCUCAA